CAAGUCGAACGGUAGAGGGGGCAACCCCUUGAGAGUGGCGAACGGGUGAGUAAUAUAUCGGAACGUGCCCAGUCGUGGGGGAUAACGUAGUGAAAAUUACGCUAAUACCGCAUACGAUCUAUGGAUGAGAGCGGGGGAUCGCAAGACCUCGCGCGAUUGGAGCGGCCGAUAUCAGAUUAGGUAGUUGGUGAGGUAAAGGCUCACCAAGCCGACGAUCUGUAGCUGGUCUGAGAGGACGACCAGCCACACUGGAACUGAGACACGGUCCAGACUCCUACGGGAGGCAGCAGUGGGGAAUUUUGGACAAUGGACGCAAGUCUGAUCCAGCCAUUCCGCGUGCAGGACGAGGGCCUUCGGGUUGUAAACUGCUUUUGUACAGAACGAAAAGGUCUCUAUUAAUACUAGGGGCUCAUGACGGUACUGUAAGAAUAAGCACCGGCUAACUACGUGCCAGCAGCCGCGGUAAUACGUGGGGUGCAAGCGUUAAUCGGAAUUACUGGGCGUAAAGCGUGCGCAGGCGGUUACAUAAGACAGAUGUGAAAUCCCCGGGCUCAACCUGGGAACUGCAUUUGUGACUGUAUAGCUGGAGUGCGGCAGAGGGGGAUGGAAUUCCGCGUGUAGCAGUGAAAUGCGUAGAUAUGCGGAGGAACACCGAUGGCGAAGGCAAUCCCCUGGGCCUGCACUGACGCUCAUGCACGAAAGCGUGGGGAGCAAACAGGAUUAGAUACCCUGGUAGUCCACGCCCUAAACGAUGUCAACUGGUUGUUGGGUCUUCACUGACUCAGUAACGAAGCUAACGCGUGAAGUUGACCGCCUGGGGAGUACGGCCGCAAGGUUGAAAC
rnacentral:rRNA from 1 species